AAAUAUUCCAUAGAGUUUCAGCUGAUCAGCUAUAGUCUUAGGGAUUACAAGGGAGUCAUUCAUCACGUGACUCCAUGUUCGAGUCAUCCGACCAGAUGUUUGAGUGAGAAACGUUGAGACGAGGUUGGUCACAGAGGGGCACUGAAGGAGCUCGAAAAGGCGAAGAAAAAAGAACGGUGGUUGCAGCACCCUCGAGAGUGCAGGAGUCAGUUGACUUAGAUUCAAAGACCAGCGGCAGUGACAGUGAUGGUAGCAGUCAUAGAUCAGAUGAUUAGAGAAGAACUGGGGGAUACGAGAUCACUAUUCAUGAGAUACAGUCGCAGGAUGGUAUUCGAUUCACCGGUGAGUUCCAAUUUACACAUACUACAUAAGUUAGGGACCAUGGUGGACGACCUCAUAGAUCCCGUGAGGAGAUGAUCUCAUAUUGGUGAUGGCCUCCUAGAAGUCGUCCGACGUUUGAUAUAGCUACAGAUGAUCUUGCACGUGGAGUAAGAUUCAUGGAUGUAUUUGGAUCAUCCUCGUACUAUGGAUCCUAUCACCCGCAGGCAGCUUAUGAUCCAUAUGGAUAUGGUGUAUCCGAGAUAUCGACUUUCAGUGGCUACUAUCCUAUGUAGUCUGGAGCAUCUUAUGGAUCGGAUUUUGCUACUGGCAUAUUUGGAUGGACCUCUCCACUGCCCUACCAUAUCUCGAGGAUACCUCUCAGAGUCAGAUGAGCG
rnacentral:lncRNA from 1 species